GUGUCAGCCGCCGCGGUAAUACGUAGGGGGCUAGCGUUGUCCGGAAUUAUUGGGCGUAAAGAGCUCGUAGGCGGUUUGGCAAGUCGGGUGUGAAAUCUCCGCGCUUAACGUGGAGCGGCCAUUCGAUACUGCCAUGACUAGAGUCCGGUAGGGGAGUGUGGAAUUCCCGGUGUAGCGGUGAAAUGCGCAGAGAUCGGGAGGAACACCCGUAGCGAAGGCGGCACUCUGGGCCGGUACUGACGCUGAGGAGCGAAAGCGUGGGGAGCAAACAGGAUUAGAAACCCUUGUAGUCC
rnacentral:rRNA from 1 species